UUGUAAUCUAGAGAAGUGUUGCUCACACUGGACCAUGUAUAAGUCUUCUGGAAUGAAGCGUCAUAGAGGGUGAGAAUCCCGUCUUUGACAUGGACUCCCAGUGUAUUUGUAGCAUGCUCUCAAAGAGUCGAGUUGUUUGGGAAUGCAGCUCUAAAUGGGUGGUAACCUCCAUCUAAAGCUAAAUAUUGGCGAGAACCGAUAGUGAACAAGUACCGUGAGGGAAAGAUGAAAAGAACUUUGGAAAGAGAGUUAAAAAGUACGUGAAAUUGUUGAAAGGGAAACGCUUGAAGUCAGUCACAUUGGCCAGGGAUCAACCCAAGCUUUUGCUUGAGUGUACUUCCUGGCUAAUGGGCCAACAUCAGCUUUGACUGUCAGAGAAGGGUAGGGGGAAUGUGGCACCCUCUUGGGUGUGUUAUAGCCCUCUGUCAUAUAUGGCCGUUGGGGCUGAGGAAUGCAGCGCGCCACAAAGGCCGGGUUUCGACCACGUUUCGCGCUUAGGAUGUUGGCAUAAUGGCUUUAAUCGACCCGUCUUGAAACACGGACCAAGGAGUCUAACAUGCCUGCGAGUGUUUGGGUGGAAAACCCGAGUGCAUAAUGAAAGUGAAAGUUGAGAUCCCUGUCAUGGGGUGCAUCGACGCCCGGACCUGAGCUUUCUAGCAAUGGCUCUGCGGUAUAGCAUGUAUGUUGGGACCCGAAAGAUGGUGAACUAUGCCUGAAUAGGGCGAAGCCAGAGGAAACUCUGG
rnacentral:rRNA from 1 species